GCGAGGGUGGCGGAACUGGCAGACGCGCUAGCCUCAGGAGCUAGUGAGAGCAAUCUCAUAGGGGUUCAAAUCCCCUCCCUCGCA
rnacentral:tRNA from 1 species